rnacentral:tRNA from 4 species
UGGGGCGUAGCCAAGUGGUAAGGCACGGGAAUUUGGAUCCCGCAUUCGAAGGUUCGAACCCUUCCGCCCCAGCCA